UGUGGUGGUUGUAAUCGGCUAUGGUAUCAAAAUGGUAAUGAUGUAACAAAACACUGCGAAUUCAAGUGUCCAACAAACUGCUUGCCUGGAGUUACAGUUGUGAAUUGUUUUGUGGAUCCAUGUUCACCCGGAGGCUCACCGAUAACAUGUCCCGGUUUUCCUAGCGCGAAGUGUUGUUCAAUAUAUUGUGGAGGCUGUCAUGCAGUUUGGUAUUCAAACGGUGAGCCAGUUACGUGUCAGAAGACGACAACGAGGGGAUAAUAUCAUUAAUUAUAAAAUACAUUCAUUUAAGUUGGGAUCAAAUAAAUUUGAUGAAUGAAA